AGUUUAUUUCUUUCUUUCUUUCUUUCUUUCUUUCUGUAUUUCCGAAUUACGAUGACGACAAUCUUUGAGGGAAAAAAUUGUCUAAAAAGUCUGAUGUCUAACUGGAAAAACAAAAAA
rnacentral:ribozyme from 14 species